GUACCCCUCGACCGGGCAGGACAGGGGAUCUCGGGGUGAGCACGGUGCUGGGCAGCCCUUGGCUGGGCAGGAUGGGGGAUCUCGGGGUAGGCACGGUGCUGGGCAGGGCUGGCUGAGGCAGGCAUGGUGCCCCUCGGCCGGGCAGGACAGGGGAUAUCGGGGUCGCCACAGUGCUGGGCAGCCUUUGGCUGGGCAGGAUGGGGGAUCUCAGGGCGGGCAUGGUGCUGGGAAGCCCUCGGCUGGCCAGGAUGGGGGAUCUCAGGGCAGGCAUGGUGCUGGACAGGGCUGGCUGAGGCAGGCAUGGUGCUGGGCAGCCUUCGGCCGGGCAGGACGGAGGAUCUCGUGGCAGACACGGUGCUGGGAAGCCCUUGGCUGGGCCAGGAUGGGGGAUCUCGGGGCGGGCAUGGUGCUGAGCAGGGCUGGCUGAGGCGGGCACAGUGCCCCUUGGCCGGGCAGGAUGGGGGAUCUCGGGGCGGGCACGGUGCUGAGCAGGGCUGGCUGAGGCGGGCACAGUGCCCCUCGGCCGGGCAGGACGGGGGAUCUCGGGGCGGGCACGGUGCUGAGCAGGGCUGGCUGAGGUAGGCACGGUGCCCCUCGGCCGGGCAGGACAGGGGAUCUCGGGGCGGGCACGGUGCUGAGCAGGGCUGGCUGAGGUGGGCAUGGUGCCCCUUGGCCGGGCAGGAUGGGGGAUCUCGGGGCGGGCACGCUGCUGGGAAGGGCUGGCUGAGGUGGGCAUGGUGCCCCUUGGCCGGGCAGGAUGGGGGAUCUCGGGGCGGGCACGGUGCUGGACAGGGCUGGCUGAGGUGGGCACAGUGCCCCUCGGCCGGGCAGGACGGGGGAUCUCGGGGCGGGCACGCUGCUGGGCAGUGCGGGCUGAGGCGGGCUCCCGCGGGCUGCGGCCU